AUGAACAUUUAUUUGAAAUUUCAAACUUUUUUUAACACCGUGACAUUAUUUCAAAUUUAUGUACAACUUUCAAAAAUAGAAAUAUUUUUGAAAUACCGAACAUUUUUGGAAAAUUACAAGCCUGAAUCAUGUACGCUACAAGCUCACAAAGGCGACAAGAUUAAAGUGCAUUAUCGUAGGACACUCACUGAUGGAUCAUUAUUUGAUUCUAGCUACGACAGAGGUGAUCCCUUCGAAUUUACUCUUGGGAACGGCCAGGUGAUAAAAGGUUGGGACCAAGGUUUACUAGGUAUGUGUAUCGACGAAAAGCGGAACCUAAGCAUAACCGCAAAUAUGGGUUACGGAGAGCGAGGAUCGCCACCAAAGAUUCCAGGUGGAGCAACUCUGGUUUUUGACACGGAGCUCAUUGCUGUCAAUGGGAAGACAUCUACUGGUGCUACUACUGCGGAGAGCGACGACAACGAGCUCUAA
rnacentral:rRNA from 1 species